rnacentral:sRNA from 1 species
CCGGGAGCCGCCGGCGUCCGGAUCGCUCGCCCCCGUUUGGACCCCACUUCGGUUCUUCUGGGGUGUUGAUGCUCCUAAAGCUCGAGAGCACGUGUCCAGACCCUAGCCUGUACGACGCUGACUCUGCCAGGUCCCAGAACCAAAGCCAUGCCGGGGUGUGGCCUCUGACCCCACGCGGAGGAGACCUCGCCUUGCGGGACCCCGCCUGGAACCCGACCUCCCGGCCUCGCAGCCGGCCUGAGCCGCCAUGCGCGGGAAGUUGCUGCCGCUGGCCGGCCUCUACCUGGUGCAGGGCCUGCCCUACGGGCUCCAGUCUGGCCUCCUGCCCGUGCUGCUGCGUGCCGGCGGCCUCUCCCUGACGCGCGUGGGGCUGGCCAAGGUUUUGUACGCUCCGUGGCUGCUCAAGCUGGCGUGGGCCCCGCUGGUGGACGCGCAGGGCUCGGCGAGGGCCUGGCUGACGCGCAGCACGGCGGGCCUGGGCCUGGUGUGUGGGCUGCUUGCCGGGCUGCCCCCGCCUGGAGCUGGCCAGGCCGGGCUGCCCGCCGCUGUGGCAGGGUUGCUGCUGUUGUUGAACCUGGGUGCCGCCAUGCAGGAUGUGGCCCUGGACGCGCUGGCUGUACAGCUGUUGGAGCCGGCCGAGCUGGGGCCAGGCAACACCGUGCAGGUGGUCGCGUACAAGCUGGGGGCCGCGCUAGCUGGGGGCGCGCUGCUGGCGCUGCUGCCCACCCUCUCGUGGCCGCAACUCUUUCUGCUCCUGGCUGCCACCUACUGGCUGGCCGCGGCCCUGGCCUGGGCUGCACCAGCCCUGCGGCGGCUCCCACAGCAGCCCCCUUGCGAGCAGCGUCCCCACACCGCGCACCUUCUGCGGGACGUGCUAGCCGUGCCGGGGACCCUGUGGACGGCAGGCUUUGUGCUCACCUACAAGCUGGGGAACUGCUGCCUCUGUUGAGGUCAGUGCUGCAGUUCCGCCUUGGGAGCCUAGCCUGCCAGACUGCCUUGGUCUUCCACCUGGACACCCUGGGGGCCAGCAUGGACCCUGGCACAAUCUUGAGAGGUGAGGGGCUGGCCUUGAGGAGGAAGAGAGGGGCCAGGAGCCUGGGGCACUGCUGACUUCUGCCCUCCCAGGGUCAGCCUUGCUGAGCCUAUGUCUGCAGCACUUCUUGGGAGGCCUGGUCACCACAGUCACCUUCACUGGGAUGAUGCGCUGCAGCCAGCUGGCCCCCAGGGCCCUGCAGGCCACACACUACAGCCUUCUGGCCACUCUGGAGCUGCUGGGGAAGCUGCUGCUGGGCACUCUGGCCGGAGGCCUGGCUGAUGGGUUGGGUCCACAUCCCUGCUUCUUGCUCCUGCUCAUUCUCUCUGCCUUGCCCAUUCUGUACCUGGGCCUAGUACCCAGCACCUUUCUCUGAGCUGGGUGGCUGGACUG